AUUAUGGCUCAGGAUGAACGCUAGCGGCAGGCUUAACACAUGCAAGUCGAGGGGGCAUCGGGAGUAGCAAUACUUGCCGGCGACCGGCGCAAGGGUGCGUAACGCGUGAGCAACAUGCCCGUAUCAGGGGGAUAAUCCAUGGAAACGUGGUCUAAUACCCCAUAGUAAUUAUGUAAGGCAUCUUAUAUAAUUUAAAGCUUUGGUGGAUACGGAUUGGCUCGCGUGACAUUAGCUGGAUGGUAAGGUAACGGCUUACCAUGGCUACGAUGUCUAGGGGUUCUGAGAGGAAGGUCCCCCACACUGGAACUGAGACACGGUCCAGACUCCUACGGGAGGCAGCAGUGAGGAAUAUUGGACAAUGGAUGGAAAUCUGAUCCAGCCAUGCCGCGUGCAAGGAAGACGGCCCUAUGGGUUGUAAACUGCUUUUGUAUGGGAGCAAUAAGGGCUACGUGUAGUCCGAUGAGAGUACCAUACGAAUAAGCACCGGCUAACUCCGUGCCAGCAGCCGC
rnacentral:rRNA from 1 species